UGGCGGACGGGUGAGUAAUGUCUGGGAAACUGCCUGAUGGAGGGGGAUAACUACUGGAAACGAUAGCUAAUACCGCAUAACGUCGCAAGACCAAAGAGGGGGACCUUCGGGCCUCUUGCCAUCGGAUGUGCCCAGAUGGGAUUAGCUAGUAGGUGGGGUAACGGCUCACCUAGGCGACGAUCCCUAGCUGGUCUGAGAGGAUGACCAGCCACACUGGAACUGAGACACGGUCCAGACUCCUACGGGAGGCAGCAUG
rnacentral:rRNA from 1 species